rnacentral:rRNA from 1 species
ACGGAGGAUGCAAGCGUUAUCCGGAUUCAAUGGGUUUAAAGGGUGCGCAGGCGGAAUGAUAAGUCAGUGGUGAAAUCUCUCGGCUCAACUGAGAAACUGCCAUUGAUACUGUUGUUCUUGAGUACACUUGAAGUGGGCCGAAUGUGUCAUGUAGCGGUGAAAUGCUUAGAUAUGCCCCAGAACUCCGCUGGCGAAGGCCGCUCGCUAAAUUGUAACUGACGCGCAGGCACGAAAGCGUAGCGAGCAAACAG